UACGGAGGGUGCAAGCGUUAUCCGGAUUCACUGGGUUUAAAGGGUGCGUAGGUGGAUUGGUAAGUCAGUGGUGAAAUCUCCGGGCUUAACCCGGAAACUGCCAUUGAUACUAUCAGUCUUGAAUACCGUGGAGGUCAGUAGAAUAUGUCAUGUAGCGGUGAAAUGCUUAGAUAUGACACAGAACACCGAUUGCGAAGGCAGCUCGCUAGACUUAUAUUGACGCUGAGGCACGAAAGCGUGGGGAUCAAACAGG
rnacentral:rRNA from 1 species